UAAUACGGAGGGUGCAAGCGUUAAUCGGAAUUACUGGGCGUAAAGCGCACGCAGGCGGUUUGUUAAGUCAGAUGUGAAAUCCCCGGGCUCAACCUGGGAACUGCAUUUGAAACUGGCAAGCUAGAGUCUCGUAGAGGGGGGUAGAAUUCCAGGUGUAGCGGUGAAAUGCGUAGAGAUCUGGAGGAAUACCGGUGGCGAAGGCGGCCCCCUGGACGAAGACUGACGCUCAGGUGCGAAAGCGUGGGGAGCAAACAGGAUUAGAUACCCUGGUAGUCCACGCUGUAAACGAUGUCGAUUUGGAGGUUGUGCCCUUGAGGCGUGGCUUCCGGAGCUAACGCGUUAAAUCGACCGCCUGGGGAGUACGGUCGCAAGACUG
rnacentral:rRNA from 1 species